AUGAGUUCCAUGUGGCUCUUCCUCUUCCUGCUGUCAGCUCCCAGAUGUGUCCUGUCCCAGGUGCAGCUGCAGGAGUCGGGCCCAGGACUGGUGAAGCCCUCACAGACCCUCUCCCUCACCUGCACUGUCUCUGGAUUCUCCAUCACAACCACUGGUUAUGCCUGGAGCUGGAUACGUCAGCCCCCAGGGAAGGGGCUGGAGUGGAUGGGGAAUAUCUGGUAUGAUGGAGACACUUACUACAGCCCGUCCCUCAAGAGCCGAACCUCCAUCUCCAGAGACACCUCCAAGAACCAGUUCUCCCUUCAGCUGAGCUCCAUAAGCACCGAGGACACGGCCGUGUAUUACUGUGCGAGACGCACACUGAGGGGAACCUCUGGAUUCACCUUUGAUGACUACUACAUGCACUGGAUCCGUUGGGCUCCAGAGAAGGGGCUGCAGUGGAACCUGGUCCCAGGGGACGUGUCCCAACACCUGUCCCGCUUCCCUCCAGAACCACCUGGAUCCUGA